rnacentral:rRNA from 1 species
GUGGGGAAUAUUGGACAAUGGGGGGAACCCUGAUCCAGCCAUGCCGCGUGUGUGAAGAAGGCCUUUUGGUUGUAAAGCACUUUAAGCGAGGAGGAGGCUACCGAGAUUAAUACUCUUGGAUAGUGGACGUUACUCGCAGAAUAAGCACCGGCUAACUCUGUGCCAGCAGCCGCGGUAAUACAGAGGGUGCAAGCGUUAAUCGGAUUUACUGGGCGUAAAGCGCGCGUAGGUGGCCACUUAAGUCAAAUGUGAAAUCCCCGAGCUUAACUUGGGAAUUGCAUUCGAUACUGGUUGGCUAGAGUAUGGGAGAGGAUGGUAGAAUUCCAGGUGUAGCGGUGAAAUGCGUAGAGAUCUGGAGGAAUACCGAUGGCGAAGGCAGCCAUCUGGCCUAAUACUGACACUGAGGUGCGAAAGCAUGGGGAGCAAACAGGAUUAGAUACCCUAGUAGUCC